CGCGAGAAAAAAAAUUAAAUGGAAACGAAAAUGAAUAAAAAUGACUAUGGUCUCAAAUUUGUGGAAAAAAACAACUGGUUUGGGAAUUGGGGUUAGUGGUGAGGAAAUGGAAAAUUGUGGUGAUUCUGUAGAUACCGGUGAAAAUGUUGGAAUAUUGUGACAAAAUUUAGAAUCUUUGUGGAAAUUUUAUUUGUAUCUUAUGUUUUUGUGGCCAUAUUUGUUCGAGAAAAAAAAUAUUUCUACACUGUGUAUUGGUGACGCCACAACAAAAAUUGAUACACGACGACAUGUUAAAAUAAUUUAAAAGCAAUCCACAACGUGUUUGUGUGUGUUAUAUGAAAGUAAUCUCUAUUGUUGGUCUCAGCACAUCGAGGAGACUGGCUCGACUCAGAUGGCGAGAUCGACAUAGCCGGAAAAAAUUGUAACAAAAGAGUUGGUUCGGACAGCGCGUGUUCUGUUUUUAUCUCAUCAACCGAAGUAAGAUCGUGAUUGGAAAUUUCUAUUGAAGGAAUAUCUAAACUUUCGUCGACCGGAGGGGAUUCUACUGGGCCGCGGAAUGACGGGUCUACUUCUAAGCUGAAACAGAUGUUAUCGUGAUCGUAUUCUGCCACGUGCGAUAUGGAAUUAACAUCGAAAUCGAUCGCGCUGCCUUCCGGGACAGGUUUACCGCCGAUUGACAAGUGGAUAUCGAACGCUUUCCAAAAAUCUGUUCCGAGGAUCAAGUCUUUCGACAAUUCCGGGAUGAUCGCGGUUGGAAUGACUUUCGUCUUAUUAUUGAACGUGAAGGGAAUGUACGCGAAACCGAUACAGAUUUAAUCGCUCGAGAAGAUCUACUGCGUUAGUCACCGUAAUAUUCGCUCCUGAAUCGAGAAGUCCUGUUAACCUUUCAUUGAGGAUUUCAACGGUUGCGUGCGGACAUCGUGAAGGGCUCGUAUUGACGUGGAAAACUCGAUUGAAAUAAUUGAAAUCAACUUGGGACGACGGCAGUACGUCCUGGGCCGUCCCGCCACCU